CCUCCCCCCAGAGCCUGGCUCCAAAUAGCGUCCGCUAUUUCCCGACCGUAGAAGGAAACGGGAGCGGCGGCUUCGGCUGCUUCCGAAAACACCCGAAGCGAGGAUUUCACCGGCUUCCGAAGCAAUCGUAACUUUUCGGAAACUAGCUCUUCAACGUUCGGGUGUUUCCGUAGGUCCGCGCGUUCCUCUGCGCCCAGCCCCUCCCCAAGGGUUCGGCUUCUUCCGACAAUUCAAACCGCCCCAGUCUCUGGCUGCUCCCGCAGAUUCUGCCCGCUCUUCGCCGCCGGCCCUAUCCAAGCAAUCGGCUACUUCCGACAAUCCUAACCGUCCCGGACUUCUGCGCUUUCUGAAGGUUUCCAGCGCUGGCUCUCGGAACCACCCAGAGGAUUAAACCCGAUACCAAGCUUCGGCUCUUUCCGGACAGUGCACUCACUCCUCCCCUGCCCGAGAACUUCGGCUCCUUCCGCCACCGCUUCGGGAAGGCCUCACUCACGGGGACAGCUUCGGUUUUUUCCGUCGGCGCUUCGGCUCCUUCCGGCUUCGGGAACCGAAAAGGGAGGGAGGACAGAGACGAGCUCCGGCUCCCUGCCUGACCGCCCGCUCCGUGGAGCUCGCCGGUGCCCCCAUCACUGUCUCCGCGGCAACGGACACCCCCUCCAAGAAGAGGCCGGGCCUAGUUUAUCCCAAAUUUUAUCGUCUCUCUUUAAUUUAAA